GCCUAGGUAGCUCAGUCGGUAGAGCAAAGGAUUGAAAAUCCUUGUGUCGACAGUUCGAUUCUGUCCCUGGGCACCA
rnacentral:tRNA from 1 species